UGUAGGCUGGUUUUCCAGGCAAAUCCGGAAAAUCAAGGCUGAGGCGUGAUGACGAGGCACUACGGUGCUGAAGCAACAAAUGCCCUGCUUCCAGGAAAAGCCUCUAAGCAUCAGGUAACAUCAAAUCGUACCCCAAACCGACACAGGUGGUCAGGUAGAGAAUACCAAGGCGCUUGAGAGAACUCGGGUGAAGGAACUAGGCAAAAUGGUGCCGUAACUUCGGGAGAAGGCACGCUGAUAUGUAGGUGAAGUCCCUCGCGGAUGGAGCUGAAAUCAGUCGAAGAUACCAGCUGGCUGCAACUGUUUAUUAAAAACACAGCACUGUGCAAACACGAAAGUGGACGUAUACGGUGUGACGCCUGCCCGGUGCCGGAAGGUUAAUUGAUGGGGUCAGCGCAAGCGAAGCUCUUGAUCGAAGCCCCGGUAAACGGCGGCCGUAACUAUAACGGUCCUAAGGUAGCGAAAUUCCUUGUCGGGUAAGUUCCGACCUGCACGAAUGGCGUAAUGAUGGCCAGGCUGUCUCCACCCGAGACUCAGUGAAAUUGAACUCGCUGUGAAGAUGCAGUGUACCCGCGGCAAGACGGAAAGACCCCGUGAACCUUUACUAUAGCUUGACACUGAACAUUGAGCCUUGAUGUGUAGGAUAGGUGGGAGGCUUUGAAGUGUGGACGCCAGUCUGCAUGGAGCCGACCUUGAAAUACCACCCUUUAAUGUUUGAUGUUCUAACGUUGACCCGUAAUCCGGGUUGCGGACAGUGUCUGGUGGGUAGUUUGACUGGGGCGGUCUCCUCCUAAAGAGUAACGGAGGAGCACGAAGGUUGGCUAAUCCUGGUCGGACAUCAGGAAGUUAGUGCAAUGGCAUAAGCCAGCUUGACUGCGAGCGUGACGGCGCGAGCAGGUGCGAAAGCAGGUCAUAGUGAUCCGGUGGUUCUGAAUGGAAGGGCCAUCGCUCAACGGAUAAAAGGUACUCCGGGGAUAACAGGCUGAUACCGCCCAAGAGUUCAUAUCGACGGCGGUGUUUGGCACCUCGAUGUCGGCUCAUCACAUCCUGGGGCUGAAGUAGGUCCCAAGGGUAUGGCUGUUCGCCAUUUAAAGUGGUACGCGAGCUGGGUUUAGAACGUCGUGAGACAGUUCGGUCCCUAUCUGCCGUGGGCGCUGGAGAACUGAGGGGGGCUGCUCCUAGUACGAGAGGACCGGAGUGGACGCAUCACUGGUGUUCGGGUUGUCAUGCCAAUGGCACUGCCCGGUAGCUAAAUGCGGAAGAGAUAAGUGCUGAAAGCAUCUAAGCACGAAACUUGCCCCGAGAUGAGUUCUCCCUGACCCUUUAAGGGUCCUGAAGGAACGUUGAAGACGACGACGUUGAUAGGCCGGGUGUGUAAGCGCAGCGAUGCGUUGAGCUAACCGGUACUAAUGAACCGUGAGG
rnacentral:rRNA from 1 species